rnacentral:tRNA from 1 species
GGAGAGGUGCCGGAGUGGUCGAACGGGGCAGUCUCGAAAACUGUUGAGCCUUAUGGGUUCCGUGGGUUCGAAUCCCACCCUCUCCGCCA